UGGGACAGCCCGUCGAAAGGCGGAUUAAUACCGUAUGUUGUCAUGUUGAUGCAUAUUUUCAUGACCAAAGGCUUCGGCCGGUAAAGGAUGGGGAUGCGUCUGAUUAGCUUGCCGGCGGGGUAACGGCCCACCGGGGCGACGAUCAGUAGGGGUUCUGAGAGGAAGGUCCCCCACAUUGGAACUGAGACACGGUCCAAACUCCUACGGGAGGCAGCAGUGAGGAAUAUUGGUCAAUGGGCGCGAGCCUGAACCAGCCAAGUAGCGUGCAGGACGACGGCCCUAUGGGUUGUAAACUGCUUUUAUACGGGGAUAAAGUAUGCCACGUGUGGUUUAUUGCAGGUACCGUAUGAAUAAGGACCGGCUAAUUCCGUGCCAGCAGCCGCGGUAAUACGGAAGGUCCGGGCGUUAUCCGGAUCUAUUGGGUUUAAAGGGAGCGUAGGCCGGGUUUUAAGCGUGCCGUGAAAUGUCGGGGCUCAACCUUGGCACUGCGGCGCGAACUGGAGUCCUUGAGUGCGCGGAACGUAUGCGGAAUUCGUGGUGUAGCGGUGAAAUGCUUAGAUAUCACGAAGAACCCCGAUUGCGAAGGCAGCAUACGGCAGCGCUACUGACGCUGAAGCUCGAAGGCGCGGGUAUCGAACAGGAUUAGAUACCCUGGUAGUCCGCGCGGUAAACG
rnacentral:rRNA from 1 species